UACGGAGGGUGCAAACGUUGCUCGGAAUCAUUGGGCGUAAAGCGCACGUAGGCGGUCCGGCAAGUCGGGUGUGAAAGCCCUCGGCUUAACCGAGGAAGUGCAUUCGAAACUACCGGACUUGAAUACUGGAGAGGGUCGCGGAAUUCCCGGUGUAGAGGUGAAAUUCGUAGAGAUCCGGAAGAACACCGGUGGCGAAGGCGGCCUGCUGGGCAGUUGCUGACACUGAGGCGCGACAGCGUGGGGAGCAACAGG
rnacentral:rRNA from 1 species